rnacentral:rRNA from 1 species
UACGUAGGGUGCAAGCGUUGUCCGGAAUUAUUGGGCGUAAAGGGCUCGUAGGCGGUCCAUCGCGUCGGGAGUGAAAAGCUGGGGCUUAACCCCAGUCCUGCUUCCGAUACGGGUGGACUAGAGGUAGGUAGGGGAGAUCGGAAUUCCUGGUGUAGCGGUGAAAUGCGCAGAUAUCAGGAGGAACACCGGUGGCGAAGGCGGAUCUCUGGGCCUGCACUGACGCUCAUGCACGAAAGCGUGGGGAGCAAACAGG